rnacentral:piRNA from 1 species
AGAUACUGUAGGACCUUGUCAGGCU